UGUCACCUUAUAUGUCUAUAAAAGAAGCUGCUAAAUCAAUUCUAGGUUGGGCAGGUUUCGUCUCAUCUGUGGUAGUUGAAAAAUUCAAGAAUAUUGAAGCUUUAAAACAAGCCAAAUGUCCAGUGUUCUUUUUGCAUGGCUAAAAAGACAACUUAAUUCCAUUCCAACAUAGCGUAGAAAUGAACAACGUGUGUCCAGAUGCCAGCUUCCUACAUCUACCUGAAAACAUGACUCAUAAUGAUUUUGAUAUUACUGAUGAUCUGAUAGUACCUUUCCGCGAUUUCAUUAUGAAAGUUGAUGAACCUUUAAGGCAUGAAGAAGACCUUAAACGAAAGCGUGAAGGUAAAGUUGAUCCAUUCGCUUAGGGCUAAAGCUGGG
rnacentral:rRNA from 1 species